rnacentral:rRNA from 1 species
UAGGAACCCUGAUGAAGAUAGGCUGUCUGAGUCUGACGAAACAAUUGUCAAAACUUUCAACAAUGGAUCUCUUGGUUCCGGCAUCGAUGAAGAACGCAGCGAAAUGCGAUAAGUAAUGUGAAUUGCAGAAUUCCGUGAAUCAUCGAAUCUUUGAACGCACAUUGCGCCCCCUGGCAUUCCGG